UUUAAGAAGCUUCUGCUCUUUCUGACUGUCACUGACAUAGCGGUAGCUGCCAUUAACUUUGUCCUCUUUGUUUUCCAUCCGUCCAUCUUUGUUCCUGCAGAAUCCCAGUGGUGAGAUCGGGGUUCAUCCUGAUUUGGUUUUUCUUUCCAUAGAUCGUGCCUCUGGCCAGUGCUUCUGUGUUUAGCAGAGUUUCUGUUCUGGACAAAGACACUGAAGAACCUGUUGCUCCCUUUGCUAGUUGUGGCUCAUACUGAACAUGAGUUUGUUAAAAGCUGGUGGUUGCUCUCCACUGUCACCACAUGCUUGACUCAGAAUGAGGGAUUGCUGCAAAGUUAAUAACUGGAUGCGUUUCACUUCAGAUCUUUGAAUGCAUUGUUUGAUCUACUGCAUCUGGUCCUGUGUUAUACAGUGAGAAUCUGUCUCACUGUAUGAGGAAAUGCACUUAUUUGUCUUGUAAAGUCCCUUAACAUGUUAUAUGUUGUUGCCCCAAUGCUGAACUGAACUAAACUGAAUAUUUUAUAUUUAAUUAGA